CGGCAUAGCUGGGUAGCUAUGUAUGGACGGGAUAAGUGCUGAAAGCAUCUAAGCAUGAAGCCCCCCUCAAGAUGAGAUUUCCCAACUUCGGUUAUAAGAUCCCUCGAAGAUGACGAGGUUAAUAGGUUCGAGGUGGAAGCGUGGUGACACGUGGAGCUGACGAAUACUAAUCGAUCGAAGACUUAAUCAAUUU
rnacentral:rRNA from 1 species